rnacentral:rRNA from 1 species
UACGAAGGGGGCUAGCGUUGCUCGGAAUCAUCGUGGCGUAAAGGGUGCGUAGGCGGGUCUUUAAGUCAGGGGUGAAAUCCUGGAGCUCAACUCCAGAACUGCCUUUGAUACUGAAGAUCUUGAGUUCGGGAGAGGUGAGUGGAACUGCGAGUGUAGAGGUGAAAUUCGUAGAUAUUCGCAAGAACACCAGUGGCGAAGGCGGCUCACUGGCCCGAUACUGACGCUGAGGCACGAAAGCGUGGGGAGCAAACAGG